rnacentral:rRNA from 1 species
GUCGAGAAUAAUUCACAAUGGACGAAAGUCUGAUGGUGCAACGCCGCGUGGAGGAUGAAGGUCUUCGGAUUGUAAACUCCUGUCAUCGGGAAGAAAGACCUGGAGGUGAAUAGCCUACAGGGUUGAUAGUACCCGAAGAGGAAGGGACGGCUAACUUCGUGCCAGCAGCCGCGGUAAUACGAAGGUCCCAAGCGUUGUUCGGAAUCACUGGGCGUAAAGGGAGCGUAGGCGGCGUGGUAAGUCAGGUGUGAAAUCCCGGGGCUCAACCCCGGAACUGCACCCGAUACUGCCGUGCUUGAGGGUUGGAGAGGUAGCUGGAAUUCUCGGUGUAGCAGUGAAAUGCGUGGAUAUCGAGAGGAACACUCGUGGCGAAGGCGAGCUACUGGACAACAUCUGACGCUGAGGCUCGAAGGCCAGGGGAGCAAAAGGGAUUAGAUACCCGAGUAGUCC